AAAAUGGUGAUCAAAUCCAAAGCAGCAAGACGCAUGUAAUUGAUAAAGGGACAAUUACUUUUCCAAAUUUGACACAAGCUGAUACUGCCAUGUAUCAGUGUGUAGCUGAGAAUACCAUGGACAAUAUCUAUCAAACUGCAUAUUUAGAUGUUCAAGCUGAGAAACCUGUCUU